UCUGUGCUGGUCCAGUGGUUAGGACUAGGCACUUUCAUUGCCAGGCCUGGGUUCAAUCCCUGGUUGGGAA
rnacentral:tRNA from 1 species